rnacentral:sRNA from 1 species
UGCAUCUGAAGUUUGUGAGGAUGAGAACCUCCGGGGGUAGAGGUUCGACUCGAGCGGAGCGAGAGAACGUUGCGUCAGCAACGGCCCGAAGGGCGAGCCACGUAGUGGCGAGUUAUCCUCUAUCACCGACCA